GAGAGAGAGAGAGAGAGAGAGAGAGAGAGAGAGAUUUAGAGAACGUAAUGAAAUGAAAGAAACGAGAGAAGCGAAGAGCGAAACUAUGAAGCUAGAGGAAUACAUAGGGAGUAUGAUAGAGAGUGGGCGAAAGAGACAGAGAAAAUGAGAGUGAGGAAGACAGACAGAGAGGGGGUGGGCAAGAAGAACGAUCAGCGAUAGAGCAUUGGCAAUAUUUAUAUCAAAUGAGAUUGAAAGACAUCCGGGAACGCACAGAUUGUGCAUUCUUAUAUUGGAUGAGGAAAAGGUUACCUGGACCGAAUGUAAAGUGUAAGGAGAUAGAGACAGAAAUGGGUUCGUGGCAUGUAAAGUUACUGCAACGGCAGUGGCAUUGUUACGGGCUAGCACGGCCGCGUAUAGGUGGCGCGUCCGUCUAACCACACAGCGCAGCGUCCACUGACGUCGCUGUAAAAAGCGCGGGAAGCACCGUGUUAUACUCUGAGAGGCAUGUACUGUGAGGCGUCUGCAUAAAUCGCGAGAAGCACUGUAUAUACUGAUGUGGCAGGCGUUCACUGGGAGAGUUCUGCAUAAAUUGUGUGAGGCACUGUGUUCUGAUGUGGCAGGCGUUCACUGUGAGAGUUCUGCAUAAAUUGUGUGAGGCACUGUGUUCUGAUGUGGCAGGCGUUCACUGUGAGAGUUCUGCAUAAAUUGUGUGAGGCACUGUGUUCUGACGUGGCAGGCGUUCACUGUGAGAGUUCUGCAUAAAUUGUGUGAGGCACUGUGUUCUGAUGUGGGAGGCGUUCACUGUGAGAGUUCUUCUAAUAUCUUCUCAAAGCAUUUCCACGUGCGCGAUCCGAUCCGUACGGCUUGCAAUUCUCCUUAUUUAGCAGCAUUCUAAGUCAGUAUAUAUAGCGAGCUGCACACACGUACCAACAGAGCUGAUGGCACUCUCACCCAAAGAACCAGCGACCCCCCUCAAUACCACCGACAUACGCCACUACGAGCUGAUAAAACGCUCACCUUAAGCUUCAACCACCCCUCACACAAAGCGCCAGCGACCCCUCACCCAAAGCGCCAGCGACUCCUCACCCAAAGCGCCAGCGACCCCUCACCCAAAGCGCCAGCGACCCCUCACCCAAAGCGCCAGCGACCCCUCACCCAAAGCGCCAGCGACCCCUCGCCCAAAGCGCCCGCGACCCCCUAUAAACCCACGUCCCCGCGAGCGUUUCCCCCACAGCCUCUGCGCAUGCAAUCUGCGUUGGUGGUCGGAGCUGCGUGAUUACUCAGCUCGUACUCAGCUCGACGCACGGAAAGCGCAAUUCAAUGGCAGGCGAUAUCCUCGCUGCGCUACUACUCUCGGCUUCCCUCGCGAGUAAAUCCUCGGCUGCUGUUCGUACCAGAUUGUUACGGAGCAGGCAUUGCUCCGUAUGAUUGACAGAGUUUCAUUGUGGCGGGGCCCGCGGCCGGUUGGCGUGAAUGCACGGCGGCACUGCGCCGACAGAGAGAGAGGGGGGGAGGAAGAGAGAGAGAGAGAGAGAGAGAGAGAGAGAG